rnacentral:tRNA from 1 species
UUGAUAAAAGCCAAAAAGAGGCUAAUCACUGUUAAUGAUUUUAUUGAAUUUUUAUUCUUAUCAAG